GGUCAGGUGUAGAUCAAAUCGCCACUCUUCGCAUCAUCUUAGAGCAAAGAGCAGAGUGGAAUGCAUAGCUUUAUAUUAACUUUAUUGAUUUCGAAAAAACAUUUCAUAGUGUACAUAGGGAAGGCUUAUGGAAAAUUAUGCAGCACUACGGCAUACCAGACAAGUAUAUAUCUAUAAUAAGAGCAGCUUACCAAGGAAUGUCAUGCCGAGUCUUGCAUGGAAACGGAGCUACGGAUAAAUUCGAAGUAAAAACAGGAGUUCGACAGGGCUGUAUACUUUCUCCCUUUUUAUUUCUACUAGUUAUAGAUUGGAUUAUGAAGGAAACUACUAUUGAGAGCCAAACAGGCAUUGAAUGGACGGAUGCAGAAGCUCUAGAAGAUCUCGACGUUGCAGAUGAUAUAGUGCUACUUUCACAAACAUAUAGCCAUAUGCAAAAUAAAACAUCAACAUUAGAAGCAAUAGCUGCCAAACUAGGAUUGAAAGUCAACUGCGACAAAUCAAAAAUUAUGCGCGUUAAUGAAGAAAUUCAGCGAACGUAUUAAACUAGAAACCGGUGCUCUAGAGGAUGUAGCUGAGUUUACGUAUUUAAGUAGUAAGAUAACGUUCUCAUGCGGCACCAACGAAGAUAUUAAGACAAGAAUAAGUAAGGCAAGGACCGCUUUUCACCUGUUAAAAAAAGUAUGGGGCGCAAAGUACUACAAUUAUCUCCGGAAAAUACCCACAAGGAUUCUUUACAUGGAUGUUUACUUCUGGAAUGGAACUACACUCUAAGUACUGUUUAUUCGUUGUUCUUUCUUCUGCGCAUCGCUCUCCCUUCUUACUACAAAUCUCCUCUUAUAGAUGUAAUAAUUCAUGCUUCUACUAUUACCGUCUCCGAUGAAGGGAUACAUUGGAUUUUCCCUGAAACAACUGUAAGACUUUAUACAUAAAAUAUAAUUCUAGCCUUGU